CUGCCAGUUCCAUAGGUCACAG
rnacentral:miRNA from 1 species